rnacentral:rRNA from 1 species
GACGCACGCUGGCGGCGUGCCUAAUACAUGCAAGUCGAACGCAGUGGGGACGGGUGAGUAACAAGUGGGUAACCUCCCAUCAGAGGGGAUAACACUUGGAAACAGGUGCUAAACCGAUACUGAUGGAUGGACCCGCGGUGCAUUAGCUAGUUGGUGAGGUAACGGCUCACCAAGGCCACGAUGCAUAGCUGACCUGAUAGGCGGAGCGGCCACACUGGGACUGAGAAACGGCCCAGACUCAUACGGGAGGUAGCAGUAGGGAAUCUUCGGCAAUGGACGAAAGUCUGACCGAGCAACGCCGCGUGAGUGAAGAAGGUUUUCGGAUCGUAAAACUCUGUUGUUAGAGAAGCGUUAUCUAACCAGAAAGCCACGGCUAACUACGUGCGAGCAGCGGCGGUAAGUC